UACGGGGGGGGCAAGCGUUGUUCGGAAUUACUGGGCGUAAAGGGCUCGUAGGCGGCCAACUAAGUCCGACGUGAAAUCCCCAGGCUUAACCUGGGAACUGCGUCGGAUACUGGAUGGCUUGAAUUCGGGAGAGGGAUGCAGAAUUCCAGGUGUAGCGGUGAAAUGCGUAGAUAUCAAGUGGAACACCAGUGGCGAAGGCGAGUCUCUGGACAAAACCUGACACUGAGGCACGAAAGCUAGGGGAGCAAACAGG
rnacentral:rRNA from 1 species